AGCUUUUUUCUUAGAACUUAAUAAAUUUGGCGGUAUUUUAAUCUAAUCAGAGGAACUUGUUUUAUAAUUGAUAAUCCUCACUAUAUCUUACUUAAUUUCGUUAAAUUUGUAUACCGUCGUCAUAAGAAUUUCUUAAAAAAGUAAAAAUGUUCUAAUAUUUUUAUUAAUAAUAAUGUCAGAUCAAGGUGCAGUUUAUAGUUAAGAAAAAAUGAGUUACAAUAAAGUUAUUUAUAAUGAAUAUAAAAAUUAAAUUUUUUAUUGAAGGUGGAUUUGUUAGUAAAAUAAAUAAAAAUUAAAUUUAUUUGAUUUUAGUUCUAAAAUAUGCACAAAUCGCCCG
rnacentral:rRNA from 1 species